rnacentral:rRNA from 1 species
AUUGAACGCUGGCGGCAUGCCUUACACAUGCAAGUCGAACGGCAGCACGGGUGCUUGCCCCUGGUGGCGAGUGGCGAACGGGUGAGUAAUACAUCGGAACAUGUCCUGUAGUGGGGGAUAGCCCGGCGAAAGCCGGAUUAAUACCGCAUACGAUCUACGGAUGAAAGCGGGGGACCUUCGGGCCUCGCGCUAUAGGGUUGGCCGAUGGCUGAUUAGCUAGUUGGUGGGGUAAAGGCCUACCAAGGCGACGAUCAGUAGCUGGUCUGAGAGGACGACCAGCCAAACCGGGACUGAGACCCGGCCCAGACUCCCAAGGGAGGCAGCAGUUGGGAAUUUUGGACAAUGGGCGAAAGCCUGAUCCAGCAAUGCCGCGUGUGUGAAGAAGGCCUUCGGGUUGUAAAGCACUUUUGUCCGGAAAGAAAUCCUUGGCCCUAAUACGGUCGGGGGAUGACGGUACCGGAAGAAUAAGCACCGGCUAACUACGUG